rnacentral:rRNA from 1 species
AGAGAUGUGUGAUGACGCAUAUCAAUAAGCGGAGGAAAAGAAACUAACAAGGAUUCCCUUAGUAACGGCGAGUGAAGCGGGAAGAGCUCAAAUUUGAAAUCUUCAAGGUUCUACCUUGACGAAUUGUAGUUUAUAGAAGUGUUUUCUGUUAGUAGAGUGGCAAAAGUUCUUUGGAAUAGGACAUCAUAGAGGGUGAGAAUCCCGUAUUUGGUCAUUCUUUCUAGCUUUGUGAUACACUUUCAACGAGUCGGAUUGUUUGGGAAUGCAGUCCAAAAUGGGUGGUAAAUUUCAUCUAAAGCUAAAUAUUGGCGAGAGACCGAUAGCGAACAAGUACCGUGAGGGAAAGAUGAAAAGAACUUUGAAAAGAGAGUUAAACAGUACGUGAAAUUGUCAAAAGGGAAGCGUUUGACACCAGUGUUGUUUAGUUGAAAAUCAAUUCAAUAAUUUUUGAUUUUAAGUAGUAUUGACUUCAUCAGCUUGCUGCUUUCUUUUCGGAAAUUAUUGAAUGCACUUUUCAGUUAACAAGUCAACAUCAAUUUCUUUUGUUGUAAAAGGGUAAGAGGAAGGUGGCUUACGCUUCGGCGUAAGUGUUUAUAGCCUUUUACCUCUGCAAUCGGAGAGAUUGAGGACAGCAGCGUAGACUCUUCGGGGUUAGAUACAUUUGUGCUAAGUUAUAGCCUUUCAUAGACAACUUGUUGACUAUGAUCAGUCAUGUAGCUUACUCGCUUAUGCUAUUUUACCUACGCUUAGGAUGUUGACGAUCAGCUGAGCGCG